UACGUAGGGGGCGAGCGUUGUCCGGAUUUAUUGGGCGUAAAGAGCUCGUAGGCGGUUUGGCAAGUCGGGUGUGAAAACUCCGGCUCAACUCGGACGACGCCACUCGAUACUGCCAUGACUCGAGUCCGGUGAGGGGAGUGGCGGAAUUCCGUGGUGGUAGCGGUAGAAAUGCGCAGAUAUCAGGAGGAACACCGGUGGCGAAGGCGGGUCUCUGGGCCGAUACUGACGCUGAGGAGCGAAAGCGUGGGGAGCGAACAGG
rnacentral:rRNA from 1 species